AUUUAUCUGUGUGUUGUCAUGAUUAUAAACAUAAUGCUGGCAUUUUGACAUUUAUUUGGCAAACGAAUUGAAAAUUUAACGUUUGUCCAUGCCGUGAUGUCCUUGGUCAGGACAACAACAGUGGCAGGCGAGGCGCAGUUGGACUUCGAAUAGCUGACCAAGGCUAUAGCUAUGGCGAUGGCAAUUUGGUGCAAGCCCCACGCUGUGCCAGCAACAUAAUGAAACCGAAAUGAAUAUGAAAAUGUAAGCGAAAGCGAAAGUAAUAUUCCACAAAUAUAUUUUAUAUUACAUAGCCGCAAAUAGCGUGCAAAAAUCAUGGUCGCGAUUAAGUGAAAA